rnacentral:rRNA from 1 species
UCAAAUAGAGAAGAGCACGAGGUGAAUGCCUUGGCACAUGUGGCCGAAGAAGGACGCUUAAAGAGCGAUAGCUGCGGGGAGCACAAAAGGCAAUGAUCCGUAGGUUUCCGAAUGGAGAAAUCCGGCAGGAAAGAAACCUGUCAUCCUAUAGCCAAUACAUAACUAUAGGAGGGGAUACCCGGCGAACUGAAACAUCUCAGUAACCGGAGGAAGAGAAAGAAAAAUUCGAUUCCCCCAGUAGCGGCGAGCGAAGAGGGAAGAGGCCGACAGUGAGUAAUAUCCCAAAGUCCAGUCGAAGGAUCUGGAAAGAUCCACCGAAGAAGGUAAUAGUCCUGUAGAUGAAAGAUAGAGGGAUAGUCACGAGAGAGUACCAUCGAACACGAGAAAUUUGGUGGGAAGACGGGAGGACCACCUCCCAAGCCUAAAUACCAACAUGUGACCGAUAGCGAACAAGUACCGUGAGGGAAAGGUGAAAAGAACCCCGGAAGGGGAGUGAAAUAGAAUCUGAAACCGAGUGCUUACAAGCAGAUAGAGGGGUUAUAACUACCCUGAUAUCGUACUUUUUGUAGAACGGGCCAGCGAGUUAUGUUCAUAAGCGAGGUUAAGUCUUUAAGAGACGGAGCCGGAGGGAAACCGAGUGUUAAUAGCGCAGAAGUUUGUGGACAUAGACCCGAAACCGGGUGAUCUAGCCAUGAGCAGGUUGAAGUAGAAGUAAAAUUCUAUGGAGGACCGAACCGGGUGUGGUUUAAAACACAUCGGAUGACUUGUGGUUAGGGGUGAAAAGCCAAUCGAACCCGGAGAUAGCUGGUUCUCCUCGAAACCACUUUAGGGUGGGCCUCAUAUAGAAGGAUAAAGGGAGGUAGAGCACUGAAUGGUCGCGGGGCAUAUUAUGCUACCAACACCUAUCAAACUAUCGAAUUCCGUUUAUCAAGUAUGGGAGUUAGACUGUGUGGGAUAAGCUUCACAGUCGAAAGGGAAACAGCCCAGACCGCCGGCUAAGGUCCCAAAAUCAUGUUCAGUGGAAAAGGAGGUCAUUCUACUCAGACAACCAGGACGUUGGCUCAGAAGCAGCCAUGCAUUGAAAGAGUGCGUAAUAGCUCACUGGUCGAGUGGAGUGGCGCCGAAGAUACACGGGGCUAAACAUGAUACCGAAGCCGCGGGAUGAUCGAGGCGAAAAGUAUUUGUAGUUAAUUAAGAGAUUAAUAGACGCUCAAGAAGCUUAGAUAAGGCUAGAAAUAUCGAAAAAGCAAAUUUUCUAAAUGAAAGACACGUUUAGAGAUAUUGAGGAAAAAGCCAAUAAUGGAAAAAUUAUCCCAAGAUAUUUUUAGACAAUUUCUAAGGAGAAAAGAGCGCGUAAGAACUAUGAAUACUUUUCGCCUCAAUGAUCGGUAGAGGAGCAUUGUAUGGACGACGAAGCAAAAGGAGAAAUCCCUUGUGGAGUGCAUACAAGAGAGAAUGCUGGCAUGAGUAGCGAGAAGGUGAGUGAGAAUCUCACCCGUCGAAAGCCGAAGGUUUCCUGAGCAAGGCUCGUCCUCUCAGGGUAAGUCGGGACCUAAGCCGAGGCCGAAGGGCGUAGGCGAUGGACAUCCGGUGGAAAUUCCGGAACUACGAGUAUUCGUUUGAGAGAAGUGUUGACGCAGAGGGCUAAUGUGAGCGAGCGGAAGGAAGAGCUCGUCUAAGGCAGUAGGUAAGAUCGAUAGGUAAAUCCGUUGAUUGAUACUGAGAGCUGAUGGGGAUCGAAAAACAAGUAGAGAAGCACAUGAUGCCGGGCUGCCGAGAAAAGACGCUAUCGAGAAUACAAGUACCCGUACCAAAACCGACACAGGUUGGCAGGAAGAGAAUUCUAAGACGCGCGGAAGAACCUUUGUUAAGGAACUCGGCAAAAUAGCCCCGUAACUUCGGGAGAAGGGGUGCCAUGUAGAGGUAGAACUAAACGUUCGAGAAGACGCAUGGCCGCAGUGAAUAGGCCCAAGCGACUGUUUACCAAAAACACAAGUAUCUGCAAAGCCGUAAGGCGAAGUAUAGGUGCUGACACCUGCCCGGUGCUGGAAGGUCAAGGGGAAGCGUUAGCGCAAGCGAAGCGUAGAACUUAAGCCCCAGUAAACGGCGGCCGUAACUAUAACGGUCCUAAGGUAGCGAAAUUCCUUGUCGGGUAAGUUCCGACCCGCACGAAAGGUGUAACGAUUUGGGCACUGUCUCAACAAAGGAUCCGGUGAAAUUGUAGUAGUCGUAAAGAUGCGACUUACCCACGCUAGGACGGAAAGACCCCAUGGAGCUUUACUGCAGGCUGACAUUGAGUUUUGGUUUGUGAUGUACAGGAUAGGUGGGAGACUGAGAACUACAGUCGUCAGACGGUAGGGAGUCGCCCUUUGGAUACCACCCUUUACAGACUAGAAUUCUAACCUAGGUCCGUGAUCCGGAUCGGGGACACUGUCAGUUGGACAGUUUGACUGGGGCGGUCGCCUCCUAAAGAGUAACGGAGGCGUUCAAAGGUUCGCUCAGGAUGGACGGAAACCAUUCAAAGAGUGUAAAGGCAGAAGCGAGCUUAACUGCGAGAGCCACAACUCAAGCAGAUGCGAAAGCAGGACUUAGUGAUCCGGCGGCACCGAGUGGAAGGGCCGUCGCUUAACGGAUAAAAGCUACCCUGGGGAUAACAGGCUUAUACCCCCCAAGAGUUCACAUCGACGGGGGUGUUUGGCACCUCGAUGUCGGCUCGUCUCAUCCUGGAGCUGGAGCAGGUUCCAAGGGUUGGGCUGUUCGCCCAUUAAAGAGGUACGCGAGCUGGGUUCAGAACGUCGUGAGACAGUUCGGUCCCUAUCCAGCGUGGGCGUUAGAAAUUUGAGAGGAGCUGUCCCUAGUACGAGAGGACCGGGAUGGACGGACCAAUGGUGUACCGGUUGUUCUGCCAAGAGCAUAGCCGGGUAGCUAAGUCCGGAACGGAUAAGCACUGAAGGCAUCUAAGUGCGAAGCCGCCCUCAAGACCAGAUUUCUGAAAGAGACCGCACAGAAAAUGCGGUUGAUAGGUUCAAGGUGUAAGUGUAGUAAUACACUAAGCUGAUGAAUACUAAUAUCUCGAAAAUUUGACCAG